AAUUAAAACGUUUAAUCUCAAAUUAACUUUCCUACUUUGCACUUAAGGGAACUAGAAAAAAAGAAUAAACUAACUCCAAAGCUGGCAGAAGAGAAAUAACUAAAAUUAGAGAAGCACUGAAUGAAGUGCUUUUUGAAGUGCUGUUUUAUUUAGACUAGAUGCAAAAAUCCACACAAAAGAUCAAUGAAACCAAUAAUUAGUUUUUCAAAAAAUAAACAAGAUGGAUAGCCUGAUAGCUAAACAAAGAAAAAAAAGAAGAGCCAAAUAAGUACAAUCAUAAAUGACAAAGAUGACAUUACAAACAAUCCCACAGAAAUACAAAAGAUCCUCAGAGAAUACUAUAAACAACUCUAUGCACACAAAUUAGAUAAUCUAGAGGAAAUGGAGAAAUUCCUGG
rnacentral:lncRNA from 1 species